GUCAGGAUGGCCGAGUGGUCUAAGGCGCCAGACUCAAGAUUAGUCUCUUCCCAAGCAUUGGGUGUUCUGGUCUCCGAAUGGAGGCGUGGGUUCAAAUCCCACUUCUGACA
rnacentral:tRNA from 1 species